rnacentral:rRNA from 1 species
AAUCAACGCUGGCGGCGUGCCUCAGACAUGCAAGUCGAACGCGAAAGGGGGCGUUCGGCCUCCGAGUAGAGUGGCGCACGGGUGAGUAACACGUGGGUAAUCUACCUCCGGGUGGGGAAUAUCAGCUGGAAACGGCUGUUAAUACCGCAUAAUGCAGCGGCAUCUAUGAUGACAGUUGUUACAGCGGGGGACCGUAGCAAUACGGCCUUGCGCCUGGAGAGGAGCCCGCGGCGGAUUAGCUAGUUGGUGAGGUAAUGGCUCACCAAGGCUUCGAUCCGUAGCCGGCCUGAGGAGGGCGGGUCGGCCACACUGACACUGACACACGGGUCAGACUCC